AUGGAUAUCCAUCGAAAUCAAUCUUGAACUAAUCUUCUCGUAGUAGAUUCUUCUUCUCUAAGUAAAAUCUUAGCCUUAAAACUCAGAUCAAUUUCUUGAUCUAGAUUACGAGAUUAACUCUUUGAUCUGCAGUCUUCUUCUUCUUCUCCUUGUUCUUCGCUUUUGAAAAAAAAUCACCUUAGACUUUUGGUGCAUGGAAAGUGGGAUAGCCAACCCAUGAGC
rnacentral:lncRNA from 1 species